rnacentral:pre_miRNA from 1 species
UGUGUACUCCCUCCGUUCCAAAAUACUUGACUUCCAUUUGUCCAAAAAUGGAUGUACCUAUAUACUAAAGCAUGUCUAGAUACAUCUAUAUUUUGACAAAUAGAAGGCAUGUAUUGUGGAACGGAGGGAGUAGAAU